rnacentral:rRNA from 1 species
UACGUAGGGGGGCUAGCGUUGUCCGGAAUCAUUGGGCGUAAAGCGCGUGUAGGCGGCUCGGUAAGUCCGCUGUGAAAGUCGGGGGGCUCAACCCUCGGAUGCCGGUGGAUACUGUCGGGCUAGAGUACGGAAGAGGCGAGUGGAAUUCCUGGUGUAGCGGUGAAAUGCGCAGAUAUCAGGAGGAACACCAAUUGCGAAGGCAGCUCGCUGGGACGGUACUGACGCUGAGGCGCGAAAGCGUGGGGAGCGAACAGG